GAAGUGAAGAAGGUGGAGAACAAGGUGUGAGCAAGUGUAAGGAGCUGUCGCUGUAGAGGCUGCGAUGGCCAUGGCGCAGCAGCAUCAGGAGGCCAUGGUGGCAGCAGCGGCGGGGAUGGGGUCGACGGGGAUGGAGCAGCAACAGAGAAGGCCAUGGACCGAGGGAACUUUUUUCCUCGAAGCUUCAGUGCGAGAGAUGGGAGGCAGUCAUCGAUCGAUUUGUUUAUUCCGGAGCCAAAUUUGGCGUCGGAACACGUACUUGCUCCGGUGCCAAAUCUCACAGUGUUGAAUAGAGGUGUCAAAUGCCAAAUUGCAAUUUGGCACCUCUAUUUGGCACACACCGUGGAGUCCCUAACACUAGAGUAUUUCGGAGAGGCUGCGAGUUGCCAAAAAGAAGCUCAUGAACCACCAAGCUUGUUUCGUCCCCUGAAAGCAGCCGAGAGCUGAGACCAUCUACGACGCCCUCGGCUCAUCGGUCUCACUUGGCUGUUAGAAUUCCUAGCGGCCUGGUCCUCCCUACAAGUCAACCAUUACAGAUAUCCUAAAGUUCAACUUCCAAAUACAUGCCAUUACGACAGAGAACAUUUCGCACUUGCAAACAAUUGAUGGCGACGUUCCAGCGCGUGAGGGGGUGGCAAUAAAAUACUGAGCAAGCUGACAAACCAAAAUAUCCUGUGAGCUCUAUUUUUCGAUACUGAGCUUGUUGCAAAAUCCGCACUCAAGAUUCGUGGGAUACGUGCGUUGAUUCUUUACUAUAGACGCGUUUAAUUGAUUAUAGCAAGAAGUGCCAUAUGACGCUUUUAGCACAUGUUAUUGUACUGGCCAAAAGAUAUAUUAAGUUGCCUAAUUUUAACCA